rnacentral:rRNA from 1 species
GACGAACGCUGGCGGCGUGCCUAAUACAUGCAAGUUGAGCGCUGAAGGUUGGUACUUGUACCAACUGGAUGAGCAGCGAACGGGUGAGUAACGCGUGGGGAAUCUGCCUUUGAGCGGGGGACAACAUUUGGAAACGAAUGCUAAUACCGCAUAAAAACUUUAAACACAAGUUUUAAGUUUGAAAGAUGCAAUUGCAUCACUCAAAGAUGAUCCCGCGUUGUAUUAGCUAGUUGGUGAGGUAAAGGCUCACCAAGGCGAUGAUACAUAGCCGACCUGAGAGGGGGAUCGGCCACAUUGGGACUGAGACACGGCCCAAACUCCUACGGGAGGCAGCAGUAGGGAAUCUUCGGCAAUGGACGAAAGUCUGACCGAGCAACGCCGCGUGAGUGAAGAAGGUUUUCGGAUCGUAAAACUCUGUUGGUAGAGAAGAACGUUGGUGAGAGUGGAAAGCCCAUCAAGUGACGGUAACUACCCAGAAAGGGACGGCCAACUACGUG